ensembl:lncRNA
AAACUCAAAUAAAUAAGAAGCAGAGGGUGAAGUCUACUUGGAACAGAGGAAAAGAUAUUCAAUAUCAAUAAAAUGAGACUGGUUGCUAUGCACUGGAAAACCGGAUGACAGAGGGGGAAAAUAUCUUAAGAAAAUACACGUCUUUACUUUGCAAUGAUUCUGAAACAUGAUCUGCAGAGAAAUCUCUGCCCACGGCUGAUGCACAAGGGUAGGAAUGAACCACAGCUCAAAGAUGACUUUAAGAACUAGAGGGAAAAAAAGAAAAGUCACCUGAGGAAAUGUGUUCAGCAGUACAGCUUGUUAUGUAGAGCAAACCCUCAUGAAGUCCUCCACAGUAUGAAGGGUGAAGCCGUGGUAAAGCCCAGGGAGCUUCUGCCCUCUCUGGACCAACACUACACCCACUGAGAAGCAGUUUUGCAUCCAACUGUGACAGCUGGCUUUCUUCCCACAUCAAUUAACAAAACUUAGGAAAAGCCUCCUGGUGCUCAGCCCUGUCCUGUCCCACUGUCAGACAAGGGGAGGUGAGGCACAACCACAAUCGCAUCCCUUGCAGGAAGACACGCCACCAAAGGAAGCUAAACUGAUACUUCAGGCAUGAUCAGAUACAUAUACUUGUCAGCCAAAUAAAAAUACUGCUGCAAAAUAAUGGACUCCUGCUGGUUGCACAGUGCAGAAGCCUUUAUACUUAAAGUAGGAAGCACUGAUUCCAUAAAAAAGCCUUUGUUCCCAGAACUUGUUGGGAUUUUGUGCUGAAAACAAUCUGGGUUUCAUUGCACAACAAAUUCUUUAUCUAUACAGGCUUGCACAAACCAAACCAAGGCACUCUUUCAGAUUUUAGGAACAGGAAACCUUAAAGACUUUUCAAGAAUUUAUUCAGGCCUCAAGUCUAAGAUCUGCCACGUCCAAAGAGUGACAGGUACUUCCAGACUGAAUUAGGGAACACUGUAUUGAUAUACUUUUAAGGAGACCAUCAUUCAUUUUCAUUGGAGAUCUAACUGCAAUAUCUGAAACCAAUUAACUCCAUUCCUUCUUCUCACUUCUAAUCCCACCCUCCUGAUCCCUG